rnacentral:tRNA from 1 species
GGGCGGUUAGCUCAGCUGGGAGAGCGCGGCGUUCGCAACGCUGAGGCCGGGGGUUCGAGUCCCCUACCGUCCA